rnacentral:lncRNA from 1 species
GAGACGGAGUCUCGCUCUGUCGUCCAGCUGGAGUGCAGUGGCGCGAUCUCGGCUCACUGCAAGCUCUGCCUCCCGGUUCAAGCAAUUCUCCUGCCUCAGCCUCCUGAGUAGCUGGGACUACAGGCAUCGAGACCAUCCUGGCUAACACAGUGAAACCCCGUCUCUACUAAAAAUACAAAAAAUUAGCCGGGCAUGGUGGCGGGCGCCUGUAGUUCCAGCUAACUGGGCGGCUGAGGCAGGAGAAUGGCGUGAACCUGGGAGGUGGAGCUUGCAGUGAGCCGAGAUAUCGCCACUGCACUCCAGCCUGGGUGACAGAGCGAGACUCCAUCUCAAAAAAAAAAAAAAAAAGAAUAUAUUGACGGAAGAAUAGAGAGGAGGCUUGAAGGAACCAGCAAUGAGAAGGCCAGGAAAAGAAAGAGCUGAAAAUGGAGAAAGCCCAAGAGUUAGAACAGUUGGAUACAGGAGAAGAAACAGCGGCUCCACUACAGACCCAGCCCCAGGUUCAAUGUCCUCCGAAGAAUGAAGUCUUUCCCUGGUGAUGGUCCCCUGCCCUGUCUUUCCAGCAUCCACUCUCCCUUGUCCUCCUGGGGGCAUAUCUCAGUCAGGCAGCGGCUUCCUGAUGAUGGUCAUUGGGGUGGUUGUCAUGUGAUGGGUCCCCUCCAGGUUACUAAAGGGUGCAUGUCCCCUGCUUGAACACUGAAGGGCAGGUGGUGGGCCAUGGCCAUGGUCCCCAGCUGAGGAGCAGGUGUCCCUGAGAACCCAAACUUCCCAGAGAGUAUGUGAGAACCAACCAAUGAAAACAGUCCCAUCGCUCUUACCCGGUAAGUAAACAGUCAGAAAAUUAGCAUGAAAGCAGUUUAGCAUUGGGAGGAAGCUCAGAUCUCUAGAGCUGUCUUGUCGCCGCCCAGGAUUGACCUGUGUGUAAGUCCCAAUAAACUCACCUACUCAUCAA